GGGCGGAUAGCUCAGCGGAAGAGCACUGGCCUUACAAGCCGGGGGUCGUGGGUUCGAUACCCUCUCCGCCCACCA
rnacentral:tRNA from 2 species